UACAGAGGGGGCAAGCGUUGUUCGGAAUUACUGGGCGUAAAGGGCGCGUAGGCGGCCUGCUAAGUCGAACGUGAAAUCCCUGGGCUCAACCCAGGAACUGCGUCCGAUACUGGUUGGCUUGAAUCCGGGAGAGGGAUGUGGAAUUCCAGGUGUAGCGGUGAAAUGCGUAGAUAUCUGGAGGAACACCGGUGGCGAAGGCGACAUCCUGGACCGGCAUUGACGCUGAGGCGCGAAAGCGUGGGGAGCGAUCCGG
rnacentral:rRNA from 1 species